UGGCAGACGGGUGAGUAACACGUGGGAACAUACCCUUCGGUUCGGAAUAACUCAGGGAAACUUGAGCUAAUACCGGAUACGUCCGCGAGGAGAAAGAUUCAUCGCCGAAGGAUUGGCCCGCGUCCGAUUAGCUUGUUGGUGAGGUAAUGGCUCACCAAGGCGACGAUCGGUAGCUGGUCUGAGAGGAUGAUCAGCCACACUGGGACUGAGACACGGCCCAG
rnacentral:rRNA from 1 species